CCCAUCAGAACUCCGAAGUUAAGUGUGCUUGGGCGAGAGUAGUAUUAGGAUGGGUGACCUCCUGGGAAGUCCUUGUGUUUCACCC
rnacentral:rRNA from 1 species